UUAAGUUCAGCGGGUAAUCCCACCUGAUCCGAGGUCAGACAAUUGAACAGUAUGUCCAAGGGACAAUUAGAAGCAAUCCAAACAUAAGCUCUGGCCAGUCCUAAGACUGUCCUCAGCGUCAGAUAAUUAUCACGCUGAGUAGAACCAAACCCCCCAUAUUAGGACCAGCUAAUACAUUUAAGACCAGCCGCAUUGGCACA
rnacentral:misc_RNA from 1 species